rnacentral:rRNA from 1 species
AUUGAACGCUGGCGGCAUGCCUUACACGUGCAAGUCGAACGGUAACGCGGGGCAACCUGGCGACGAGUGGCGAACGGGUGAGUAAUGCAUCGGAACGUGCCCAGUAGUGGGGGAUAGCCCGGCGAAAGCCGGAUUAAUACCGCAUACGACCUACGGGUGAAAGCGGGGAUCGCAAGACCUCGCGCUAUUGGAGCGGCCGAUGUCGGAUUAGCUAGUUGGUGGGGUAAAGGCCUACCAAGGCGACGAUCCGUAGCUGGUCUGAGAGGACGACCAGCCACACUGGGACUGAGACACGGCCCAGACUCCUACGGGAGGCAGCAGUGGGGAAUUUUGGACAAUGGGCGCAAGCCUGAUCCAGCCAUGCCGCGUGCGGGAAGAAGGCCUCGGGUUGUAAACCGCUUUUGUCAGGGAAGAAACGGUCUGGGCUAAUACCCCGGACUAAUGACGGUACCUGAAGAAUAAGCACCGGCUAACUACGUGCCAGCAGCCGCGGUAAUACGUAGGGUGCAAGCGUUAAUCGGAUUACUGGGCGUAAAGCGUGCGCAGGCGGCUUUGCAAGACAGAUGUGAAAUCCCCGGGCUCAACCCGGGAACUGCAUUUGUGACUGCAUCGCUCGAGUGCGGCAGAGGGGGAUGGAAUUCCGCGUGUAGCAGUGAAAUGCGUAGAUAUGCGGAGGAACACCGAUGGCGAAGGCAAUCCCCUGGGCCUGCACUGACGCUCAUGCACGAAAGCGUGGGGGAGCAAACAGGAUAG